rnacentral:rRNA from 1 species
AGGGUUCGAUUCUGGCUCAGGAUGAACGCUGGCGGCGUGCUUAACACAUGCAAGUCGAACGGGAUCCAUCAGGCUUUGCUUGGUGGUGAGAGUGGCGAACGGGUGAGUAACGCGUGACCGACCUGCCCCAUACACCGGAAUAGCUCCUGGAAACGGGUGGUAAUGCCGGAUGCUCCAGUUGAUCGCAUGGUCUUCUGGGAAAGCUUUCGCGGUAUGGGAUGGGGUCGCGUCCUAUCAGCUUGACGGCGGGGUAACGGCCCACCGUGGCUUCGACGGGUAGCCGGCCUGAGAGGGUGACCGGCCACAUUGGGACUGAGAUACGGCCCAGACUCCUACGGGAGGCAGCAGUGGGGAAUAUUGCACAAUGGGCGCAAGCCUGAUGCAGCGACGCCGCGUGAGGGAUGGAGGCCUUCGGGUUGUAAACCUCUUUUAUCGGGGAGCAAGCGUGAGUGAGUUUACCCGUUGAAUAAGCACCGGCUAACUACGUGCCAGCAGCCGCGGUAAUACGUAGGGUGCAAGCGUUAUCCGGAAUUAUUGGGCGUAAAGGGCUCGUAGGCGGUUCGUCGCGUCCGAUGUGAAAGUCCAUCGCUUAACGGUGGAUCCGCGCCGGGUACGGGCGGGCUUGAGUGCGGUAGGGGAGACUGGAAUUCCCGGUGUAACGGUGGAAUGUGUAGAUAUCGGGAAGAACACCAAUGGCGAAGGCAGGUCUCUGGGCCGUUACUGACGCUGAGGAGCGAAAGCGUGGGGAGCGAACAGGAUUAGAUACCCUGGUAGUCCACGCCGUAAACGGUGGAUGCUGGAUGUGGGGCCCGUUCCACGGGUUCCGUGUCGGAGCUAACGCGUUAAGCAUCCCGCCUGGGGAGUACGGCCGCAAGGCUAAAACUCAAAGAAAUUGACGGGGGCCCGCACAAGCGGCGGAGCAUGCGGAUUAAUUCGAUGCAACGCGAAGAACCUUACCAAGGCUUGACAUGCACGGCGGCACUGCAGAGAUGUGGUGGCAUUUGGUUGGUCGUGUGCAGGUGGUGCAUGGUUGUCGUCAGCUCGUGUCGUGAGAUGUU